rnacentral:rRNA from 1 species
UACGGAGGAUGCGAGCGUUAUCCGGAUUUAUUGGGUUUAAAGGGUGCGUAGGCGGUAUUUUAAGUUAGUGGUAAAACGUCGGGGCUUCACCUUGAUUGGCCAUUAAAACUGGAGUACUAGAGUACAGACGAGGUAGGCGGAAUAAGUUAAGUAGCGGUGAAAUGCGUAGAUAUUAGGAGGAACACCAGUGGCGAAGGCGACUUUCUGGACAGUAACUGACGUUGAGGCACGAAAGUGUGGGGAGCAAACAGG